rnacentral:lncRNA from 1 species
AUGCCCGCGGCUCCGUGUACGGCCCGUCCAAAGCUCCUUCGACGGCGCCGCCUAGGAACGCGGAGAAAAUAUGACAAAGGAACGGCCAAAAAUAAAAAGAAAGACCUUUCUUUUGAAAAAACAAACAAAAAAAGGAAUGCAACACGAGGACUUCCCAGGAGGUCACCCAUCCUAGUACUACUCUCGCCCAAGCACGCUUAACUUCAAAGUUAGGUAGUCAUCCGGUGCUUUAGUGCUGGUAUGAUCGCAUCCGACAUACCGUGCGUUCUCCUCCCCUUUAUGCCCGCGCCUCCGUGUACGGCCCGCCCAUAGCUCCUUCGACGGCGCCGCCUAGGAACGCGGAGAAAAUAUGACAAAGGAACGGCCAAAAAUAAAAAGAAAGACCUUUCUUUUGAAAAAACAAACAAAAAAAGGAAUGCAACACGAGGACUUCCCAGGAGGUCACCCAUCCCAGUACUACUCUCGCCCAAGCACGCUUAACUUCAGAGUUCUGAUGGGAUCCGGUGCUUUAGUGCUGGUAUGAUCGCAUCCGACAUACCGUGCGUUCUCCUCCCCUUUAUGCCCGCGCCUCCGUGUACGGCCCGCCCAUAGCUCCUUCGACGGCGCCGCCUAGGAACGCGGAGAAAAUAUGACAAAAGAACGGCCAAAAAUAAAAAGAAAGACCUUUCUUUUGAAAAAACAAACAAAAAAAGGAAUGCAACACGAGGACUUCCCAAGAGGUUACCCAUCCCAGUACUACUCUCGCCCAAGCACGCUUAACUUCGGAGUUCUGAUGGGAUCCGGUGCUUUAGUGCUGGUAUGAUCGCAUCCGAUAUACCGUGCGUUCUCCUCCCCUUUAUGCCCGCGCCUCCGUGUACGGCCCGCCCAUAGCUCGUUCGACGGCGCCGCCUAGGAACGCGGAGAAAAUAUGACAAAGGAACAGCCAAAAAUAAAAAGAAAGACCUUUCUUUUGAAAAAACAAACAAAAAAAAAGGAAUGCAACACGAGGACUUCCCAGGAGGUCACCCAUCCCAGUACUACUCUCGCCCAAGCACGCUUAACUUCGGAGUUCUGAUGGGAUCCGGUGCUUUAGUGCUGGUAUGAUCGCAUCCGACAUACCGUGCGUUCUCCUCCCCUUUAUGCCCGCGCCUCCGUGUACGGCCCGCCCAUAGCUCGUUCGACGCCGCCGCCUAGGAACGCGGAGAAAAUAUGACAAAGGAACGGCCAAAAAUAAAAAGAAAGAUCUUUCUUUUGAAAAAACAAACAAAAAAAGGAACGCAACACGAGGACUUCCCAGGAGGUCACCAAUCCUAGUACUACUCUCGCCCAAGCACGCUUAACUUCGGAGUUCUGAUGGGAUCCGGUGCUUUAGUGCUGGUAUGAUCGCAUCCGACAUACCGUGCGUUCUCCUCCCCUUUAUGCCCGCGCCUCCGUGUACGGCCCGCCCAUAGCUCGUUCGACGGCGCCGCCUAGGAACGCGGAGAAAAUAUGACAAAAGAACGGCCAAAAAUAAAAAGAAAGACCUUUCUUUUGAAAAAAGAAACAAAAAAAGGAAUGCAACACGAGGACUUCCCAAGAGGUCACCCAUCCUAGUGCUACUCUCGCCCAAGCACGCUUAACUUCGGAGUUCUGAUGGGAUCCGGUGCUUCAGUGCUGGUAUGAUCGCAUCCGACAUACCAUGCGUUCUCCUCUCCUUUAUGCCCGCGCCUCCGUGUACGGUCCGCCCAUAGCUCCUUCGACGCCGCCGCCUAGGAACGAGGAGAAAAUAUGACAAAGGAACGACCAAAAAUAAAAAGGAAGAUCUUUCUUUUGAAAAAACAAACAAAAAAAGGAAUGCAACACGAGGACUUCCCAGGAGGUCACCCAUCCCAGUACUACUCUCGCCCAAGCACGCUUAACUUCGGAGUUCUGAUGGGAUCCGGUGCUUUAGUGCUGGUAUGAUCGCAUCCGACAUACCGUGCGUUCUCCUCCCAUUUAUGCCCGCGCCUCCGUGUACGGCCCGCCCAUAGCUCCUUCGACGCCGCCGCCUAGGAACGCGGAGAAAAUAUGACAAAGGAACGGCCAAAAAUAAAAAGAAAGACCUUUCUUUUGAAAAAACAAACAAAAAAAGGAAUGCAACACGAGGACUUCCCAGGAGGUCACCCAUCCUAGUACUACUCUCGCCCAAGCACGCUUAACUUCGGAGUUCUGAUGGGAUCCGGUGCUUUAGUGCUAGUAUGAUCGCAUCCGACAUACCGUGCGUUCUCCUCCCAUUUAUGCCCGCGCCACCGUGUACGGCCCGCCCAUAGCUCCUUCGACGGCGCCGCCUAGGAACGCGGAGAAAAUAUGACAAAGGAACGGCCAAAAAUAAAAAGAAAGACCUUUCUUUUGGAAAAACAAACAAAAAAGGAAUGCAACACGAGGACUUCCCAGGAGGUCAUCCAUCCUAGUACUACUCUCGCCCAAGCACGCUUAACUUCGGAGUUCUGAUGGGAUCCGGUUCUUUAGUGCUGGUAUGAUCGCAUCCGACAUACGUUGCGUUCUCCUCCCCUUUAUGCCCGCGCCUCCGUGUACGGCCCGCCCAUAGCUCCUUCGACGGCGCCGCCUAGGAACGCGGAGAAAAUAUGACAAAGGAACGACUAAAAAUAAAAAGAAAGAUCUUUCUUUUGAAAAAACAAACAAAAAAAGGAAUGCAACACGAGGACUUCCGAGGAGGUCACCCAUCCCAGUACUACUCUCGCCCAAGCACGCUUAACAUCGGAGUUUCCGGUGCUUUAAUGCUGGUAUGAUCGCAUCCGACAUACCGUGCGUUCUCCUCCCCUUUAUGCCCGCGCCUCCGUGUACGGCCCGCCCAUAGCUCGUUCGACGGCGCCGCCUAGGAACGCGGAGAAAAUAUGACAAAGGAACAGCCAAAAAUAAAAAGAAAGACCUUUCUUUUGAAAAAACAAACAAGAAAAGGAAUGCAACACGAGGACUUCCCAGGAGGUCACCCAUCCCAGUACUACUCUCGCCCAAGCACGCUUAACUUCGGAGUUCUGAUGGGAUCCGGUGCUUUAGUGCUGGUAUGAUCGCAUCCGACAUACCGUGCGUUCUCCUCCCCUUUAUGCCCGCGCCUCCGUGUACGGCCCGCCCAUAGCUCGUUCGACGGCGCCGCCUAGGAACGCGGAGAAAAUAUGACAAAAGAACGGCCAAAAAUAAAAAGAAAGACCUUUCUUUUGAAAAAAGAAACAAAAAAAGGAAUGCAACACGAGGACUUCCCAAGAGGUCACCCAUCCUAGUGCUACUCUCGCCCAAGCACGCUUAACUUCGGAGUUCUGAUGGGAUCCGGUGCUUCAGUGCUGGUAUGAUCGCAUCCGACAUACCGUGCGUUCUCCUCUCCUUUAUGGCCACGCCUCCGUGUACGGUCCGCCCAUAGCUCCUUCGACGCCGCCGCCUAGGAACGCGGAGAAAAUAUGACAAAGGAACGACCAAAAAUAAAAAGAAAGAUCUUUCUUUUCAAAAAACAAACAAAAAAAGGAAUGCAACACGAGGACUUCCCAGGAGGUCACCCAUCCCAGUACUAUUCUCGCCCAAGCACGCUUAACUUCGGAGUUCUGAUGGGAUCCGGUGCUUUAGUGCUGGUAUGAUCGCAUCCGACAUACCGUGCGUUCUCCUCCCAUUUAUGCCCGCGCCUCCGUGUACGGCCCGCCCAUAGCUCCUUCGACGCCGCCGCCUAGGAACGCGGAGAAAAUAUGACAAAGGAACGGCCAAAAAUAAAAAGAAAGACCUUUCUUUUGAAAAAACAAACAAAAAAAGGAAUGCAACACGAGGACUUCCCAGGAGGUCACCCAUCCUAGUACUACUCUCGCCCAAGCACGCUUAACUUCGGAGUUCUGAUGGGAUCCGGUGCUUUAGUGCUGGUAUGAUCGCAUCCGACAUACCGUGCGUUCUCCUCCCAUUUAUGCCCGCGCCACCGUGUACGGCCCGCCCAUAGCUCCUUCGACGGCGCCGCCUAGGAACGCGGAGAAAAUAUGACAAAGGAACGGCCAAAAAUAAAAAGAAAGACCUUUCUUUUGGAAAAACAAACAAAAAAGGAAUGCAACACGAGGACUUCCCAGGAGGUCAUCCAUCCUAGUACUACUCUCGCCCAAGCACGCUUAACUUCGGAGUUCUGAUGGGAUCCGGUUCUUUAGUGCUGGUAUGAUCGCAUCCGACAUACGUUGCGUUCUCCUCCCCUUUAUGCCCGCGCCUCCGUGUACGGCCCGCCCAUAGCUCCUUCGACGGCGCCGCCUAGGACCGCGGAGAAAAUAUGACAAAGGAACGGCCAAAAAUAAAAAGAAAGACCUUUCUUUUGAAAAAACAAACAAAAAAAAGGAAUGCAACACGAGGACUUCCCAGGAGGUCACCCAUCCUAGUACUACUCUCGCCCAAGCACGCUUAACUUCGGAGUUCUGAUGGGAUCCGGUGCUUUAGUGCUGGUAUGAUCGCAUCCGACAUACCGUGCGUUCUCCUCCCCUUUAUGCCCGCGCCUCCGUGUACGGCCCGCCCAUAGCUCCUUCGACGGCGCCGCCUAGGAACGCGGAGAAAAUAUGACAAAGGAACGGCCAAAAAUAAAAAGAAAGACCUUUCUUUUGAAAAAACAAACAAAAAAAAGGAAUGCAACACGAGGACUUCCCAGGAGGUCACCCAUCCUAGUACUACUCUCGCCCAAGCACGCUUAACUUCGGAGUUCUGAUGGGAUCCGGUGCUUUAGUGCUGGUAUGAUCGCAUCCGACAUACCGUGCGUUCUCCUCCCCUUUAUGCCCGCGCCUCCGUGUACGGCCCGCCCAUAGCUCCUUCGACGGCGCCGCCUAGGAACGCGGAGAAAAUAUGACAAAGGAACGGCCAAAAAUAAAAAGAAAGACCUUUCUUUUGAAAAAACAAACAAAAAAAAGGAAUGCAACACGAGGACUUCCCAGGAGGUCACCCAUCCUAGUACUACUCUCGCCCAAGCACGCUUAACUUCGGAGUUCUGAUGGGAUCCGGUGCUUUAGUGCUGGUAUGAUCGCAUCCGACAUACCGUGCGUUCUCCUCCCCUUUAUGCCCGCGCCUCCGUGUACGGCCCGCCCAUAGCUCCUUCGACGGCGCCGCCUAGGAACGCGGAGAAAAUAUGACAAAGGAACGGCCAAAAAUAAAAAGAAAGACCUUUCUUUUGAAAAAACAAACAAAAAAAAGGAACGCAACACGAGGACUUCCCAGGAGGUCACCCAUCCUAGUACUACUCUCGCCCAAGCACGCUUAACUUCGGAGUUCUGAUGGGAUCCGGUGCUUUAGUGCUGGUAUGAUCGCAUCCGACAUACCGUGCGUUCUCCUCCCCUUUAUGCCCGCGCCUCCGUGUACGGCCCGCCCAUAGCUCGUUCGACGGCGCCGCCUAGGAACGCGGAGAAAAUAUGACAAAGGAACGGCCAAAAAUAAAAAGAAAGACCUUUCUUUUGAAAAAACAAACAAAAAAAAGGAAUGCAACACGAGGACUUCCCAGGAGGUCACCCAUCCUAGUACUACUCUCGCCCAAGCACGCUUAACUUCGGAGUUCUGAUGGGAUCCGGUGCUUUAGUGCUGGUAUGAUCGCAUUCGACAUACCGUGCGUUCUCCUCCCAUUUAUGCCCGCGCCUCCGUGUACGGCCCGCCCAUAGCUCCUUCGACGGCGCCGCCUAGGAACGCGGAGAAAAUAUGACAAAGAAACGGCCAAAAAUAAAAAGAAAGACCUUUCUUUUGAAAAAACAAACAAAAAAAGGAACGCAACACGAGGACUUCCCAGGAGGUCACCAAUCCUAGUACUACUCUCGCCCAAGCACGCUUAACUUCGGAGUUCUGAUGGGAUCCGGUGCUUUAGUGCUGGUAUGAUCGCAUCCGACAUACCGUGCGUUCUCCUCCCCUUUAUGCCCGCGCCUCCGUGUACGGCCCGCCCAUAGCUCCUUCGACGGCGCCGCCUAGGAACGCGGAGAAAAUAUGACAAAGGAACGGCCAAAAAUAAAAAGAAAGACCUUUCUUUUGAAAAAACAAACAAAAAAAAAGAAUGCAACACGAGGACUUCCCAGGAGGUCACCCAUCCUAGUACUACUCUCGCCCAAGCACGCUUAACUUCGGAGUUCUGAUGGGAUCCGGUGCUUUAGUGCUGGUAUGAUCGCAUCCGACAUACCGUGCGUUCUCCUCCCCUUUAUGCCCGCGCCUCCGUGUACGGCCCGUCCAUAGCUCCUUCGACGGCGCCGCCUAGGAACGCGGAGAAAAUAUGACAAAGGAACGGCCAAAAAUAAAAAGAAAGACCUUUCUUUUGAAAAAACAAACGCCUCCGUGUACGGCCCGCCCAUAGCUCCUUCGACGGCGCCGCCUAGGAACGCGGAGAAAAUAUGACAAAGGAACGGCCAAAAAUAAAAAGAAAGACCUUUCUUUUGAAAAAACAAACAAAUAAAAGGAAUGCAACACGAGGACUUCCCAGGAGGUCACCCAUCCUAGUACUACUCUCGCCCAAGCACGCUUAACUUCGGAGUUCUGAUGGGAUCCGGUGCUUUAGUGCUGGUAUGAUCGCAUCCGACAUACCGUGCGUUCUCCUCCCCUUUAUGCCCGCGCCUCCGUGUACGGCCCGCCCAUAGCUCCUUCGACGGCGCCGCCUAGGAACGCGGAGAAAAUAUGACAAAGGAACGGCCAAAAAUAAAAAGAAAGACCUUUCUUUUGAAAAAACAAACGCCUCCGUGUACGGCCCGCCCAUAGCUCCUUCGACGGCGCCGCCUAGGAACGCGGAGAAAAUAUGACAAAGGAACGGCCAAAAAUAAAAAGAAAGACCUUUCUUUUGAAAAAACAAACAAAAAAAAGGAAUGCAACACGAGGACUUCCCAGGAGGUCACCCAUCCUAGUACUACUCUCGCCCAAGCACGCUUAACUUCGGAGUUCUGAUGGGAUCCGGUGCUUUAGUGCUGGUAUGAUCGCAUCCGACAUACCGUGCGUUCUCCUCCCCUUUAUGCCCGCGCCUCCGUGUACGGCCCGCCCAUAGCUCCUUCGACGGCGCCGCCUAGGAACGCGGAGAAAAUAUGACAAAGGAACGGCCAAAAAUAAAAAGAAAGACCUUUCUUUUGAAAAAACAAACAAAUAAAAGGAAUGCAACACGAGGACUUCCCAGGAGGUCACCCAUCCUAGUACUACUCUCGCCCAAGCACGCUUAACUUCGGAGUUCUGAUGGGAUCCGGUGCUUUAGUGCUGGUAUGAUCGCAUCCGACAUACCGUGCGUUCUCCUCCCCUUUAUGCGCCACGCCUCCGUGUACGGUCCGCCCAUAGCUCCUUCGACGCCGCCGCCUAGGAACGCGGAGAAAAUAUGACAAAGGAACGGCCAAAAAUCAAAAGAAAGACCUUUCUUCUGAAAAAACACACGCCUCCGUGUACGGCCCGCCCAUAGCUCCUUCGACGGCGCCGCCUAGGAACGCGGAGAAAAUAUGACAAAGGAACGGCCAAAAAUAAAAAGAAAGACCUUUCUUAUUGAAAAAACAAACAAAUAAAAGGAAUGCAACACGAGGACUUCCCAGGAGGUCACCCAUCCUAGUACUACUCUCGCCCAAGCACGCUUAACUUCGGAGUUCUGAUGGGAUCCGGUGCUUUAGUGCUGGUAUGAUCGCAUCCGACAUACCGUGCGUUCUCCUCCCCUUUAUGCCCGCGCCUCCGUGUACGGCCCGCCCAUAGCUCCUUCGACGGCGCCGCCUAGGAACGCGGAGAAAAUAUGACAAAGGAACGGCCAAAAAUAAAAAGAAAGACCUUUCUUUUGAAAAAACAAACGCCUCCGUGUACGGCCCGCCCAUAGCUCCUUCGACGGCGCCGCCUAGGAACGCGGAGAAAAUAUGACAAAGGAACAGCUAAAAAUAAAAAGAAAGACCUUUCUUUUGAAAAAACAAACAAAAAAAGGAAUGCAACACGAGGACUUCCGAGGAGGUCACCCAUCCCAGUACUACUCUCGCCCAAGCACGCUUAACUUCGGAGUUCUGAUGGGAUCCGGUGCUUUAGUGCUGGUAUGAUCGCAUCCGACAUACCGUGCGUUCUCCUCCCCUUUAUGCCCGCGCCUCCGUGUACGGCCCGCCCAUAGCUCCUUCGACGGCGCCGCCUAGGAACGCGGAGAAAAUAUGACAAAGGAACGGCCAAAAAUAAAAAGAAAGACCUUUCUUUUGAAAAAACAAACAAAAAAAAGGAACGCAACACGAGGACUUCCCAGGAGGUCACCCAUCCUAGUACUACUCUCGCCCAAGCACGCUUAACUUCGGAGUUCUGAUGGGAUCCGGUGCUUUAGUGCUGGUAUGAUCGCAUCCGACAUACCGUGCGUUCUCCUCCCCUUUAUGCCCGCGCCUCCGUGUACGGCCCGCCCAUAGCUCGUUCGACGGCGCCGCCUAGGAACGCGGAGAAAAUAUGACAAAAGAACGGCCAAAAAUAAAAAGAAAGACCUUUCUUUUGAAAAAAGAAACAAAAAAAGGAAUGCAACACGAGGACUUCCCAAGAGGUCACCCAUCCUAGUGCUACUCUCGCCCAAGCACGCUUAACUUCGAAGUUCUGAUGGGAUCCGGUGCUUCAGUGCUGGUAUGAUCGCAUCCGACAUACCGUGCGUUCUCCUCUCCUUUAUGGCCACGCCUCCGUGUACGGUCCGCCCAUAGCUCCUUCGACGCCGCCGCCUAGGAACGCGGAGAAAAUAUGACAAAGGAACGACCAAAAAUAAAAAGAAAGAUCUUUCUUUUCAAAAAACAAACAAAAAAAGGAAUGCAACACGAGGACUUCCGAGGAGGUCACCCAUCCCAGUACUAUUCUCGCCCAAGCACGCUUAACUUCGGAGUUCUGAUGGGAUCCGGUGCUUUAGUGCUGGUAUGAUCGCAUCCGACAUACCGUGCGUUCUCCUCCCCUUUAUGCCCGCGCCUCCGUGUACGGCCCGCCCAUAGCUCCUUCGACGGCGCCGCCUAGGAACGCGGAGAAAAUAUGACAAAGGAACGGCCAAAAAUAAAAAGAAAGACCUUUCUUUUGAAAAAACAAACAAAUAAAAGGAAUGCAACACGAGGACUUCCCAGGAGGUCACCCAUCCUAGUACUACUCUCGCCCAAGCACGCUUAACUUCGGAGUUCUGAUGGGAUCCGGUGCUUUAGUGCUGGUAUGAUCGCAUCCGACAUACCGUGCGUUCUCCUCCCCUUUAUGCCCGCGCCUCCGUGUACGGCCCGCCCAUAGCUCCUUCGACGGCGCCGCCUAGGAACGCGGAGAAAAUAUGACAAAGGAACGGCCAAAAAUAAAAAGAAAGACCUUUCUUUUGAAAAAACAAACAAAUAAAAGGAAUGCAACACGAGGACUUCCCAGGAGGUCACCCAUCCUAGUACUACUCUCGCCCAAGCACGCUUAACUUCGGAGUUCUGAUGGGAUCCGGUGCUUUAGUGCUGGUAUGAUCGCAUCCGACAUACCGUGCGUUCUCCUCCCCUUUAUGCCCGCGCCUCCGUGUACGGUCCGCCCAUAGCUCCUUCGACGGCGCCGCCUAGGAACGCGGAGAAAAUAUGACAAAGGAACGGCCAAAAAUAAAAAGAAAGACCUUUCUUUUGAAAAAACAAACAAAUAAAAGGAAUGCAACACGAGGACUUCCCAGGAGGUCACCCAUCCUAGUACUACUCUCGCCCAAGCACGCUUAACUUCGGAGUUCUGAUGGGAUCCGGUGCUUUAGUGCUGGUAUGAUCGCAUCCGACAUACCGUGCGUUCUCCUCCCCUUUAUGCCCGCGCCUCCGUGUACGGCCCGCCCAUAGCUCCUUCGACGGCGCCGCCUAGGAACGCGGAGAAAAUAUGACAAAGGAACGGCCAAAAAUAAAAAGAAAGACCUUUCUUUUGAAAAAACAAACGCCUCCGUGUACGGCCCGCCCAUAGCUCCUUCGACGGCGCCGCCUAGGAACGCGGAGAAAAUAUGACAAAGGAACGGCCAAAAAUAAAAAGAAAGACCUUUCUUUUGAAAAAACAAACAAAAAAAAGGAAUGCAACACGAGGACUUCCCAGGAGGUCACCCAUCCUAGUACUACUCUCGCCCAAGCACGCUUAACUUCGGAGUUCUGAUGGGAUCCGGUGCUUUAGUGCUGGUAUGAUCGCAUCCGACAUACCGUGCGUUCUCCUCCCCUUUAUGCCCGCGCCUCCGUGUACGGCCCGCCCAUAGCUCCUUCGACGGCGCCGCCUAGGAACGCGGAGAAAAUAUGACAAAGGAACGGCCAAAAAUAAAAAGAAAGACCUUUCUUUUGAAAAAACAAACGCCUCCGUGUACGGCCCGCCCAUAGCUCCUUCGACGGCGCCGCCUAGGAACGCGGAGAAAAUAUGACAAAGGAACGGCCAAAAAUAAAAAGAAAGACCUUUCUUUUGAAAAAACAAACAAAAAAAAGGAAUGCAACACGAGGACUUCCCAGGAGGUCACCCAUCCUAGUACUACUCUCGCCCAAGCACGCUUAACUUCGGAGUUCUGAUGGGAUCCGGUGCUUUAGUGCUGGUAUGAUCGCAUCCGACAUACCGUGCGUUCUCCUCCCCUUUAUGCCCGCGCCUCCGUGUACGGCCCGCCCAUAGCUCCUUCGACGGCGCCGCCUAGGAACGCGGAGAAAAUAUGACAAAGGAACGGCCAAAAAUAAAAAGAAAGACCUUUCUUUUGAAAAAACAAACGCCUCCGUGUACGGCCCGCCCAUAGCUCCUUCGACGGCGCCGCCUAGGAACGCGGAGAAAAUAUGACAAAGGAACGGCCAAAAAUAAAAAGAAAGACCUUUCUUUUGAAAAAACAAACAAAAAAAAGGAAUGCAACACGAGGACUUCCCAGGAGGUCACCCAUCCUAGUACUACUCUCGCCCAAGCACGCUUAACUUCGGAGUUCUGAUGGGAUCCGGUGCUUUAGUGCUGGUAUGAUCGCAUCCGACAUACCGUGCGUUCUCCUCCCCUUUAUGCCCGCGCCUCCGUGUACGGCCCGCCCAUAGCUCCUUCGACGGCGCCGCCUAGGAACGCGGAGAAGAUAUGACGAAGGAACGGCCAAAAAUAAAAAGAAAGACCUUUCUUUUGAAAAAACAUACGCCUCCGUGUACGGCCCGCCCAUAGCUCCUUCGACGGCGCCGCCUAGGAACGCGGAGAAAAUAUGACAAAGGAACGGCCAAAAAUAAAAAGAAAGACCUUUCUUUUGAAAAAACAAACAAAUAAAAGGAAUGCAACACGAGGACUUCCCAGGAGGUCACCCAUCCUAGUACUACUCUCGCCCAAGCACGCUUAACUUCGGAGUUCUGAUGGGUUCCGGUGCUUUAGUGCUGGUAUGAUCGCAUUCGACAUACCGUGCGUUCUCCUCCCCUUUAUGCCCGCGCCUCCGUGUACGGCCCGCCCAUAGCUCCUUCGACGGCGCCGCCUAGGAACGCGGAGAAAAUAUGACAAAGGAACGGCCAAAAAUAAAAAGAAAGACCUUUCUUUUGAAAAAACAAACAAAUAAAAGGAAUGCAACACGAGGACUUCCCAGGAGGUCACCCAUCCUAGUACUACUCUCGCCCAAGCACGCUUAACUUCGGAGUUCUGAUGGGAACCGGUGCUUUAGUGCUGGUAUGAUCGCAUCCGACAUACCGUGCGUUCUCCUCCCCUUUAUGCCCGCGCCUCCGUGUACGGCCCGCCCAUAGCUCCUUCGACGGCGCCGCCUAGGAACGCGGAGAAAAUAUGACAAAGGAACGGCCAAAAAUAAAAAGAAAGACCUUUCUUUUGAAAAAACAAACAAAUAAAAGGAAUGCAACACGAGGACUUCCCAGGAGGUCACCCAUCCUAGUACUACUCUCGCCCAAGCACGCUUAACUUCGGAGUUCUGAUGGGAUCCGGUGCUUUAGUGCUGGUAUGAUCGCAUCCGACAUACCGUGCGUUCUCCUCCCCUUUAUGCCCGCGCCUCCGUGUACGGCCCGCCCAUAGCUCCUUCGACGGCGCCGCCUAGGAACGCGGAGAAAAUAUGACAAAGGAACGGCCAAAAAUAAAAAGAAAGACCUUUCUUUUGAAAAAACAAACAAAAAAAAGGAAUGCAACACGAGGACUUCCCAGGAGGUCACCCAUCCUAGUACUACUCUCGCCCAAGCACGCUUAACUUCGGAGUUCUGAUGGGAUCCGGUGCUUUAGUGCUGGUAUGAUCGACAUCCGACAUCACGCGUGCGUUCUCCUCCCCUUUGAUGCCCGCGCCUCCGUGUACGGCCGCCCAUAGCUCCUUCGACGGCGCCGCCUAGGAACGCGGAGAAAAUAUGACAAAGGAACGGCCAAAAAUAAAAAGAAAGACCUUUCUUUUGAAAAAACAAACAAAAAAAAGGAAUGCAACACGAGGACUUCCCAGGAGGUCACCCAUCCUAGUACUACUCUCGCCCAAGCACGCUUAACUUCGGAGUUCUGAUGGGAUCCGGUGCUUUAGUGCUGGUAUGAUCGCAUCCGACAUACCGUGCGUUCUCCUCCCCUUUAUGCCCGCGCCUCCGUGUACGGCCCGCCCAUAGCUCCUUCGACGGCGCCGCCUAGGAACGCGGAGAAAAUAUGACAAAGGAACGGCCAAAAAUAAAAAGAAAGACCUUUCUUUUGAAAAAACAAACGCCUCCGUGUACGGCCCGCCCAUAGCUCCUUCGACGGCGCCGCCUAGGAACGCGGAGAAAAUAUGACAAAGGAACGGCCAAAAAUAAAAAGAAAGACCUUUCUUUUGAAAAAACAAACAAAUAAAAGGAAUGCAACACGAGGACUUCCCAGGAGGUCACCCAUCCUAGUACUACUCUCGCCCAAGCACGCUUAACUUCGGAGUUCUGAUGGGAUCCGGUGCUUUAGUGCUGGUAUGAUCGCAUCCGACAUACCGUGCGUUCUCCUCCCCUUUAUGCCCGCGCCUCCGUGUACGGCCCGCCCAUAGCUCCUUCGACGGCGCCGCCUAGGAACGCGGAGAAAAUAUGACAAAGGAACGGCCAAAAAUAAAAAGAAAGACCUUUCUUUUGAAAAAACAAACGCCUCCGUGUACGGCCCGCCCAUAGCUCCUUCGACGGCGCCGCCUAGGAACGCGGAGAAAAUAUGACAAAGGAACGGCCAAAAAUAAAAAGAAAGACCUUUCUUUUGAAAAAACAAACAAAUAAAAGGAAUGCAACACGAGGACUUCCCAGGAGGUCACCCAUCCUAGUACUACUCUCGCCCAAGCACGCUUAACUUCGGAGUUCUGAUGGGAUCCGGUGCUUUAGUGCUGGUAUGAUCGCAUCCGACAUACCGUGCGUUCUCCUCCCCUUUAUGCCCGCGCCUCCGUGUACGGCCCGCCCAUAGCUCCUUCGACGGCGCCGCCUAGGAACGCGGAGAAAAUAUGACAAAGGAACGGCCAAAAAUAAAAAGAAAGACCUUUCUUUUGAAAAAACAAACGCCUCCGUGUACGGCCCGCCCAUAGCUCCUUCGACGGCGCCGCCUAGGAACGCGGAGAAAAUAUGACAAAGGAACGGCCAAAAAUAAAAAGAAAGACCUUUCUUUUGAAAAAACAAACAAAUAAAAGGAAUGCAACACGAGGACUUCCCAGGAGGUCACCCAUCCUAGUACUACUCUCGCCCAAGCACGCUUAACUUCGGAGUUCUGAUGGGAUCCGGUGCUUUAGUGCUGGUAUGAUCGCAUCCGACAUACCGUGCGUUCUCCUCCCCUUUAUGCCCGCGCCUCCGUGUACGGCCCGCCCAUAGCUCCUUCGACGGCGCCGCCUAGGAACGCGGAGAAAAUAUGACAAAGGAACGGCCAAAAAUAAAAAGAAAGACCUUUCUUUUGAAAAAACAAACAAAUAAAAGGAAUGCAACACGAGGACUUCCCAGGAGGUCACCCAUCCUAGUACUACUCUCGCCCAAGCACGCUUAACUUCGGAGUUCUGAUGGGAUCCGGUGCUUUAGUGCUGGUAUGAUCGCAUUCGACAUACCGUGCGUUCUCCUCCCAUUUAUGCCCGCGCCUCCGUGUACGGCCCGCCCAUAGCUCCUUCGACGGCGCCGCCUAGGAACGCGGAGAAGAUAUGACAAAGGAACGGCCAAAAAUAAAAAGAAAGACCUUUCUUUUGAAAAAACAAACAAAUAAAAGGAAUGCAACACGAGGACUUCCCAGGAGGUCACCCAUCCUAGUACUACUCUCGCCCAAGCACGCUUAACUUCGGAGUUCUGAUGGGAUCCGGUGCUUUAGUGCUGGUAUGAUCGCAUCCGACAUACCGUGCGUUCUCCUCCCCUUUAUGCCCGCGCCUCCGUGUACGGCCCGCCCAUAGCUCCUUCGACGGCGCCGCCUAGGAACGCGGAGAAAAUAUGACAAAGGAACGGCCAAAAAUAAAAAGAAAGACCUUUCUUUUGAAAAAACAAACAAAAAAAAGGAAUGCAACACGAGGACUUCCCAGGAGGUCACCCAUCCUAGUACUACUCUCGCCCAAGCACGCUUAACUUCGGAGUUCUGAUGGGAUCCGGUGCUUUAGUGCUGGUAUGAUCGCAUCCGACAUACCGUGCGUUCUCCUCCCCUUUAUGCCCGCGCCUCCGUGUACGGCCCGCCCAUAGCUCCUUCGACGGCGCCGCCUAGGAACGCGGAGAAAAUAUGACAAAGGAACGGCCAAAAAUAAAAAGAAAGACCUUUCUUUUGAAAAAACAAACAAAAAAAAGGAAUGCAACACGAGGACUUCCCAGGAGGUCACCCAUCCUAGUACUACUCUCGCCCAAGCACGCUUAACUUCGGAGUUCUAAUGGGAUCCGGUGCUUUAGUGCUGGUAUGAUCGCAUCCGACUACCGUGCGUUCUCCUCCCCUUUAUGCCCGCGCCUCCGUGUACGGCCCGCCCAUAGGUCCUUCGACGGCGCCGCCUAGGAACGCGGAGAAAAUAUGACAAAGGAACGGCCAAAAAUAAAAAGAAAGACCUUUCUUUUGAAAAAACAAACAAAAAAAAGGAAUGCAACACGAGGACUUCCCAGGAGGUCACCCAUCCUAGUAAUACUCUUUGAUGGGAUCCGGUGCUUUAGUGCUGGUAUGAUCGCAUCCGACAUACCGGGCGUUCUCCUCCCCUUUAUGCCCGCGCCUCCGUGUACGGCCCGCCCAUAGCUCCUUCGACGGCGCCGCCUAGGAACGCGGAGAAAAUAUGACAAAGGAACGGCCAAAAAUAAAAAGAAAGACCUUUCUUUUGAAAAAACAAACAAAAAAAGGAAUGCCACACGAAGACUUCCCAGGAGGGCACCCAUCCCAGGACUACUCUCGGCCAAGCACGCUUAAAUUCCGAGUUCUGAUGGGAUCCGGUGCUUUAGGGGUGGGAUGAUCGCAUCCGACAUACCGUGCGGUCUCCUCCCCUUUAUGCCCGCGCCUCCGUGUACGGCCCGGCCAUAGCUCCUUCGACGGCGCCGCCUAGGAACGCGGAGAAAAUAUGACAAAGGAACGGCCAAAAAUAAAAAGAAAGACCUUUCUUUUGAAAAAACAAACAAAUAAAAGGAAUGCAACACGAGGACUUCCCAGGAGGUCACCCAUCCUAGUACUACUCUCGCCCAAGCACGCUUAACUUCGGAGUUCUGAUGGGAUCCGGUGCUUUAGUGCUGGUAUGAUCGCAUCCGACAUACCGUGCGUUCUCCUCCCCUUUAUGCCCGCGCCUCCGUGUACGGCCCGCCCAUAGCUCCUUCGACGGCGCCGCCUAGGAACGCGGAGAAAAUAUGACAAAGGAACGGCCAAAAAUAAAAAGAAAGACCUUUCUUUUGAAAAAACAAACAAAUAAAAGGAAUGCAACACGAGGACUUCCCAGGAGGUCACCCAUCCUAGUACUACUCUCGCCCAAGCACGCUUAACUUCGGAGUUCUGAUGGGAUCCGGUGCUUUAGUGCUGGUAUGAUCGCAUCCGACAUACCGUGCGUUCUCCUCCCCUUUAUGCCCGCGCCUCCGUGUACGGCCCGCCCAUAGCUCCUUCGACGGCGCCGCCUAGGAACGCGGAGAAAAUAUGACAAAGGAACGGCCAAAAAUAAAAAGAAAGACCUUUCUUUUGAAAAAACAAACAAAAAAAAGGAAUGCAACACGAGGACUUCCCAGGAGGUCACCCAUCCUAGUACUACUCUCGCCCAAGCACGCUUAACUUCGGAGUUCUGAUGGGAUCCGGUGCUUUAGUGCUGGUAUGAUCGAAUCCGACAUACCGUGCGUUCUCCUCCCCUUUAUGCCCGCGCCUCCGUGUACGGCCCGCCCAUAGCUCCUUCGACGGCGCCGCCUAGGAACGCGGAGAAAAUAUGACAAAGGAACGGCCAAAAAUAAAAAGAAAGACCUUUCUUUUGAAAAAACAUACAAAUAAAAGGAAUGCAACACGAGGACUUCCCAGGAGGUCACCCAUCCUAGUACUACUCUCGCCCAAGCACGCGUAACUUCGGAGUUCUGAUGGGAUCCGGUGCUUUAGUGCUGGUAUGAUCGCAUCCGACAUACCGUGCGUUCUCCUCCCCUUUAUGCCCGCGCCUCCGUGUACGGCCCGCCCAUAGCUCCUUCGACGGCGCCGCCUAGGAACGCGGAGAAAAUAUGACAAAGGAACGGCCAAAAAUAAAAAGAAAGACCUUUCUUUUGAAAAAACAAACAAAUAAAAGGAAUGCAACAGGAGGACUUCCCAGGAAGUCACCCAUCCUAGUACUACUCUCGCCCAAGCACGCUUAACUUCGGAGUUCUGAUGGGAUCCGGUGCUUUAGUGCUGGUAUGAUCGCAUCCGACAUACCGUGCGUUCUCCUCCCCUUUAUGCCCGCGCCUCCGUGUACGGCCCGCCCAUAGCUCCUUCGACGGCGCCGCCUAGGAACGCGGAGAAAAUAUGACAAAGGAACGGCCAAAAAUAAAAAGAAAGACCUUUCUUUUGAAAAAACAAACAAAAAAAAGGAAUGCAACACGAGGACUUCCCAGGAGGUCACCCAUCCUAGUACUACUCUCGCCCAAGAACGCUUAACUUCGGAGUUCUGAUGGGAUCCGGAGCUUUAGUGCUGGUAUGAUCGCAUCCGACAUACCGUGCGUUCUCCUCCCCUUUAUGCCCGCGCCUCCGUGUACGGCCCGCCCAUAGCUCCUUCGACGGCGCCGCCUAGGAACGCGGAGAAA